CCCGUAUGAGGAGAGGGCCCGGGCUGAGGCUGACAGGGCCAGGGUUCCAUCCAUGCUCCUGCUCUGGGCUGGCAGCUCCACCUGGUGUGGAAUAGUCUGGGGGUCUGACCUGGGUGGACCUGUCAGGGGUGAGAAUAGAGCUUUGCACGGUUAUAAAUACAACAGGUAUCAUUUAUUGAGUGGUUAGGAUGUGCCAAGCCCCGCAUCAUGAUUUUUUACCUGCAUAAUUAUGCUUAACCCCUCAGCAGUCCUAUGAGGCAGGUAACUAAUAACAUCUCUGAUUUUGGUGGGGGUUUGGGCGGGGGACGGCAAGGCUCAGGAUCAGAACUAGGAGGUAGGAUUCAAACCCAAGUCUGCCCUGGAGCCAAGCUCCUACUGCCUACAUUGUACUGUCUCCUUGACUGGGUCCUCUCGAUGCCACCUCCUCCCAAAAGUCUUCCCAGAUUGCCUGAGCCUGAGUUAGGGUUCUCUGUCUGUGUCCCCACAGCCUCACCGUCUGAGUGCCGGUCCCACCGAGUUGUAGUUGCCCGGUUACGUCUCUGAGAACAGAGACUUGCGAGGGCGGAGGGCUUUCUGCCAUCAUCCCUGAUGGCCCCCUAACAUGUAACGUGGUACCUGUGCCAAGCGUGCAGGCAGGGCACUGCGCCCUGAUUCUCCACUCCGGGUGUGGGAUAUUAGGGACGUGACACAGACAUUUGGCUGGCUGGACAUCCAGAGAGGCCCUCUUAGAUGUGGCUCACAGCAGAAGCUGCAGGACCUCUGGGUCCCCGAGCUUCAAAUCCCAGGAGGACGGGAUGCCCUGGGGCCUGGGUCACGUUUGAGUGCUGUUCUGGGGACUCCGUGUGAGAUGAAAACACACAGCCUCGGUUUUCACCUCCUCAGCCCUCGGGUCCCGGGCAGCCCUGGCCAAGCCCAGCCUGCCCUUUCUUUUCUUUCUCCUCUUCAGCAUCACUUUUCAAAUGUCUUCCCCUCUCACCUGGGAACUUCCAUAUGCUGCAGGUGUGGCCCUUAAAAAAAAAAAAAAAAAAAAAAAAAAAAAGAGCACAUUUUGAAGAGAAUAUCUGUAUUUUUUCCAAAACAAAAUUUUAGUGAGAAGAAUGGCACUGCUUUAUAUGUAUAUAUAUAUAUAUAUUUUUUUCUCUCUUUUUGCCAUUUC
rnacentral:lncRNA from 1 species